AGAAGCUCCACGCAGAAUGACCCGACACGCUGGCUUGUAUCCUCCCGUGGAAUAAGAUUCAAAGCACUUUAUUUAAUACUUGAAAGAAACUCGUAAAAGUGAAAAAUAGACACAGGAACCUGUACGAAGGCCCAUUGAGACUAUUUGGCGGUGUAACGGGUACCGAAAGAUUAUUUUGUUGCAACUGAUUCUGCUCCUGCUGCAAACUUGGAAAAUUCCUCGCAACAUCCCGCAGUGGUUCCCCAUUGAAACCCAAACCAAUCCCAAGACCCUCGAGACCUUCGGGCAAUUUGAUAGUCUCAUUCUUAUCCGGUAUACGAUCCAAGCGAACAGUCAUCUUACGACCAUACAACAUCUGGUGAUCCAACAUGGAAAUAGCCUGGACCGCUUCAACAGGAUGAUCGUAUUCGACAACAGCAAAACCACGACUGUUACCAUCUUCAUCUUUUGACAAAUCAACACUUACAACGCGACCAGCGAGCUUGAACACCUGCUCCAAUUUCUUCCCGUCAACCUUGUCGUCCAACUGCAAAAGAAAAGAUGGAAAAAGAGCAAAAUACAAAAUAGUAGCGAAAGGUUGUCUUUUUCUAUCUUUCUGUAUGAUACUGCUAAAUAUUCAAAGUCUCAUGUAAGGAAAUUGCAUAAGCAUCAAAUCUCUAUUAUUACGGAAAUUAAUUCCUGGCUUUGUAGUCUGGAUUCAGAGAAUUGAUAUGUUAAAACACACUAAACUAAACAUUUAAAAAACAUCUAACACCAAUUUUUUAAUCAACUGUUGUCAAACAGGAUAUUGUCAUUCAAAACUCUCAAUCCUAUCGAGAACUGAAAGCAUCCAAAUUAAAAAUAAA